GUACUCUCACACUCCCGAUCUUUGGAUUGGGAGUGGUGGACUUGGGUGUUGCUGCUUCACCGUGGCUCACCUCAAAUGGAGUAGUGCAACUCUUGGUUGGACAUAGUACGGCGUGAUAAGUGUCUUCGCCGGCACCUCACUAGAGGGUGGCUGAUCAGGAGCUCUGUGCUUCAAACCGUCUUCGGACAACUACUGACA
rnacentral:misc_RNA from 1 species